UACAGAGGGUGCGAGCGUUAAUCGGAAUUACUGGGCGUAAAGCGUGCGUAGACGGCUAUCUAAGUCGGGUGUGAAAUCUCCGGGCUUAACCCGGAAAUGGCAUUGAAUACUAUUGAGCUGGAGGUUUGGAGGGGGGACUGGAAUUCCCGGUGUAGCAGUGAAAUGCGUAGAGAUCGGGAGGAACAUCAGUUGCGAAGGCGGCUCUCUGGACCAGCACUGACACUGAGGCACGAAAGCGUGGGGAGCAAACAGG
rnacentral:rRNA from 1 species